rnacentral:rRNA from 1 species
UACAGAGGUCUCAAGCGUUGUUCGGAUUCAUUGGGCGUAAAGGGUGCGUAGGCGGCGCGGUAAGUCGGGUGUGAAAUCUCGGAGCUUAACUCCGAAACUGCAUUCGAUACUGCGGUGCUUCGAGGACUGGAGAGGAGACUGGAAUUCAUGGUGUAGCAGUUGAAAGUGCGUAGAUAUCAGGAGGAACACCGGUGGCGAAGGCGGUUCUCUGGGCAUUAUCCUGACGCUGAGGAGCGAAAGUGUGGGGAGCGAACAGG